UGGGGAAUUUUGGACAAUGGGCGCAAGCCUGAUCCAGCCAUGCCGCGUGCGGGAAGAAGGCCUUCGGGUUGUAAACCGCUUUUGUCAGGGAAGAAACGCUCUGGGCUAAUACCCUGGGGUAAUGACGGUACCUGAAGAAGAAGCACCGGCUAACUACGUGCCAGCAGCCGCGGUAAUACGUAGGGUGCGAGCGUUAAUCGGAAUUACUGGGCGUAAAGCGUGCGCAGGCGGUUUGGUAAGACAGAUGUGAAAUCCCCGGGCUUAACCUGGGAACUGCAUUUGUGACUGCCAGACUAGAGUGUAGCAGAGGGGGGUAGAAUUCCACGUGUAGCAGUGAAAUGCGUAGAUAUCGGAAGGAACAUCAGUUGCGAAGGCGGCUCUCUGGACUCAAACUGACGCUGAGGCACGAAAGCGUGGGUAGCGAACAGGAUUAGAUACCCAAGUAGUCCCUGAGCGGGCUGGCAAGGCGCAU
rnacentral:rRNA from 1 species